rnacentral:rRNA from 1 species
UACGUAGGAUGCAAGCGUUAUCCGGAAUGAUUGGGCGUAAAGCGUCCGCAGGUGGCUAUGUAAGUCUGCUGUUAAAGAGUGAGGCUCAACCUCAUAAGAGCAGUGGAAACUACAUAGCUAGAGUGCGUUCGGGGCAGAGGGAAUUCCUGGUGUAGCGGUGAAAUGCGUAGAUAUCAGGAAGAACACCGGUGGCGAAAGCGCUCUGCUAGGCCGCAACUGACACUGAGGGACGAAAGCUAGGGGAGCGAAUGGG